rfam:Phasey bean mild yellows virus isolate NSWCP15, complete genome
GAAAACUAGCCAAGCACACGCGAGUUGCAAGCAUUGGAAGUUCAAGUCUCGCUACAA